rnacentral:tRNA from 1 species
AUGGUUAUAGCUUGGUGGUAGAGCACAGGCUUAGCACACAUGAGGUCCUGGGUUCAAUCCCCAGUAUCUCUG